GAUGAACGCUGGCGGCGUGCCUAAUACAUGCAAGUCGAGCGAACAGACGAGGAGCUUGCUCCUCUGACGUUAGCGGCGGACGGGUGAGUAACACGUGGAUAACCUACCUAUAAGACUGGGAUAACUUCGGGAAACCGGAGCUAAUAUCGGAUAAUAUAUUGAACCGCAUGGUUCAAUAGUGAAAGACGGUUUUGCUGUCACUUAUAGAUGGAUCCGCGCCGCAUUAGCUAGUUGGUAAGGUAACGGCUUACCAAGGCAACGAUGCGUAGCCGACCUGAGAGAGUGAUCGGCCACACUGGAACUGAGACACGGUCCAGACUCCUACGGGAGGCAGCAGUAGGGAAUCUUCCGCAAUGGGCGAAAGCCUGACGGAGCAACGCCGCGUGAGUGAUGAAGGUCUUCGGAUCGUAAAACUCUGUUAUUAGGGAAGAACAAAUGUGUAAGUAACUAUGCACGUCUUGACGGUACCUAAUCAGAAAGCCACGGCUAACUACGUG
rnacentral:rRNA from 1 species